rnacentral:rRNA from 1 species
UACGUAGGGGGCAAGCGUUGUCCGGAAUCAUUGGGCGUAAAGCGCGUGUAGGCGGCCCGGUAAGUCCGCUGUGAAAGUCGGGGGCUCAACCCUCGAAUGCCGGUGGAUACUGUCGGGCUAGAGUGCGGGAGAGGCGAGUGGAAUUCCUGGUGUAGCGGUGAAAUGCGCAGAUAUCAGGAGGAACACCAAUUGCGAAGGCAGCUCGCUGGAACGUUACUGACGCUGAGACGCGAAAGCGUGGGGAGCAAACAGG